UCUAACGGAUGAGCAAAGAACGUGGUUUCCUGAGAUGGAAUCUACUCCUGAUGAAGAUGCUGUGAG
rnacentral:pre_miRNA from 1 species